rnacentral:rRNA from 1 species
CCUACGGGAGGCAGCAGUGGGGAAUUUUGGACAAUGGGCGAAAGCCUGAUCCAGCCAUGCCGCGUGCAGGAUGGAGGCCUUCGGGUUGUAAACUGCUUUUGUACGGAACGAAAAGCCUCUUUCUAAUAAAGAGGGGUCAUGACGGUACCGUAAAAAUAAGCACCGGCUAACUACGUGCCAGCAGCCGCGGUAAUACGUAGGGUGCAAGCGUUAAUCGGAAUUACUGGGCGUAAAGCGUGCGCAGGCGGUUUUGUAAGACAGAGAUGAAAUCCCCGGGCUCAACCUGGGAACUGCCUUUGUGACUGCAAGGCUGGAGUGCGGCAGAGGGGGAUGGAAUUCCGCGUGUAGCAGUGAAAUGCGUAGAUAUGCGGAGGAACACCGAUGGCGAAGGCAAUCCCCUGGGCCUGCACUGACGCUCAUGCACGAAAGCGUGGGGAGCAAACAGGAUUAGAUACCCUGGUAGUCCACGCCCUAAACCGAUGUCAACUGGUUGUUGGGUCUUCACUGACUCAGUAACGAAGCUAACGCGUGAAGUUGACCGCCUGGGGAGUACGGCGCGAGUAGAACGACANAGAGUAGAGCGUGAGAGUGCGACGACGACGACGAGGGAGGAGG